UUUCAAAUACAAAUAGCGGAGGAAAAGAAACUAACUAGGAUUCCCUUAGUAACGGCGAGUGAACCGGGAUGAGCUCAAAUUUAAAAUCUGGCGUCUUUCAGGCGUCCGAGUUGUAAUCUAUAGAGGCGUUUUCCGCGCCGGACCGCGUCCAAGUCUCUUGGAAUAGAGUAUCAAAGAGGGUGACAAUCCCGUACUUGACGCGACAACCGGUGCUCUGUGAUACGUUCUCAAUGAGUCGAGUUGUUUGGGAAUGCAGCUCUAAAUGGGUGGUAAAUUCCAUCUAAGGCUAAAUAUUGGCGAGAGACCGAUAGCGAACAAGUACCGUGAGGGAAAGAUGAAAAGCACUUUGGAAAGAGAGUUAAACAGCACGUGAAAUUGUUAAAAGGGAAACGAUUGAAGUCAGUCGUGUGAAAGGUAUUCAGCCGUCUCUGGCGGUGUAUUUGCCUUUCACGGGUCAACAUCAGUUUGAUCCGGUAGAAAAAGGCGGGAGGAAGGUGGCACCCUCGGGUGUGUUAUAGCCUCCUGUCAUAUGUGCCGGACCAGACUGAGGAACGCAGCUUGCCGCAAGGCCGGGGUUCGCCCACGUACAAGCUUAGGAGCUGAUCU
rnacentral:rRNA from 1 species